rnacentral:lncRNA from 1 species
GUAUUUUGGUUUUGUAAACAUUACAAAACAAGGUAUACCUUGUUUUAGUCUGGUGCUAUCUUCUUGUCAUAAAACAGUUGUCAGGGUACUUGGUUUUACUGUUAGUGGAUGGUGAGAAGUAGUGGUCCCAAAAGACUACUUUACUUUAACUACUGUCUUGUUUAAUAAUUUAGUUAUGUUCUAAUCAUACUGUCACCAUGUGUGCCUUGUGCUCUGGCUGCCUACAAGCCAGAGCUGUCACUGUGAUUAUCCACUAUCCACCUUGAAAUCCCUACUUAUUUGAUUUGCAGUCAGGUCCCAAGUCCACAUCUCCCACCUGCUUAGUGGAUCUUAAAGUAAGGAUCAAUGUGUUUUGAUGAGAGAUAGAGAUAAAAUCCUGUCUGUGGAGAGCAUUCCUUGAGCAUAAAGAGCUUUAGAGUAUUAUGGGAGAGAACAAGCAAAGAGAAAGUUGUGCACUACAUCAGAAUUUAGUUCUGGACUGACUGCUGGCCCAGAAGAAAGUGUCCACUUAUGCUAGACAAUUUGUCUCUUCAGACUUCCUCUGCUGUUAAGACAAACAUGAUGGAAAACCUGCAUCAAGGCACAUUCCCCUUCACCAGGGGUAGGUGAAGGGAAACUGGUCUCAUGCCUGCGCCACUUCUUUGUAAAGCAGAGCACCGAAUCCAGCUUCCUUCCUUUCAAAUGAGCAUUCAGAUGAGUGAGGCAACUGGUUGUUCUGACACAAGUUCUUCAGAACUUCUGUUAAUAGAUUUCAAGGUGUAGAAUGACUACGCAAUGAAGUAUGCAGUAGAAUACAAACUAAGCAAAGACAAAAACAAAGACAGGCAUCUACCCUACAGCCCUGAAUAGCAUGGCAUUUAUAACUUCAUUUGUGAUUGAGACUCACCUUUGAAUUAGAUGAUGACAAGAUUUAGAAACAAAACAUCAGGUAAGAUUGGUAAGUUUCUGGGUCAGUAGGUUGAAAGCAGCCCCAACAAGACUUCUGUACUCCUCCUACUCCCCGCUCUUUUGUGGUUUUGGGGACCAUGUACCAUAUGCCUCUUCAGCACUUUCCUAAUACUGGAAUUUCACCAAGCCUGACGUUAAAGCUUAAGAACCAGUGUGGCUGAGCAACUUCAGGAUGUUAGCAAGAGUGUCUAAGGAAGUUUUGCUAUCUUUGUGCUAGAAAAUUCUCUCUUGCAGUUGAUCCUGAACCCUUGAGGAGUUCCUAUCAUAGCAGGACAGCCGGGCCUAACUCAGGUGGUAGAAGGAUUGUGAGUGAUAUCUCAGACUAGAUCUUUGUGCAGCUGCUACUAGUGCUGAGUCAUGGCUCCAGAAUUUUAAACAGCAGAAGUUUCUAUGAUGGAUUAUUAAAAGCUCAAAAACCUUUCCUACAGAAGCAGAGCAAUUUCAGAACACAAGACAGUAAGUCUAGGGGGGGGGGGGAAAAAGUUCAUAUGAACACUUUGUACAGUUGUCUUGAAAAACAAUUUACUGAAAUAAUAGUUGAAACUUCUAUGGUAUUGAAACGCAGCCACAGCAGGUGGCUAGGUGUAACCCUAUCACACAGGCAGCCCUGAUUUGUAGCUAGAGGAUAAUUCCAGUGCUUCCAGAAGGAAACAAUAGCUAGAACAUUAACAAACAAGCAAUCUGCUCAAAUGGUUGAGGGUUCGAAAGCUUUCCUCCAGGCAAUGAGAAAUGGUAAGGGCAUUAUAAAAUUAAGACCUUUUGCUAUAAGGUGUUUUUAAAUACAGCUGCAUUCUGGUGUUGCAGUUCAUAUACUUUCUGUGCACAUGUUAUUCUCCUCAUCUUCCUUCAUAGGCUCACACUAAGAGCAAAUUCAAAGCAAGCUUUUGAGUGCAGCUAUUUCACUAUUACCACAUUUCUCAGUUUUCAGGUGUAGGUUACUUAACAGUUACUGUGACCUCACUGUUGCUUCAUAUUACAUAGUGUUUGUUAGCCAUUUUUUUCACUUCUUUUAAGAUGUAGCUAGGACUUAGUCUGUCUGGAAGGCAAUAGGAAAUGGGCUACCAGCACUGCUGCCUGGGGCAUCCCAGGGUAUUCCUUCAGCUCUGCCCCCAGAGUACAUUCCCUCCAUGAGCUGCAGUGUUGCAUUUCUACAGGACACGGGCAACUGAAGAGGAUAAGGAAGUUAUAAGAUGGGAUAAGAUAGAUAUAUGAAGGAUAAAGAAGUUAAAGAAGUAGGGUUAUAUGGUGGUCAAACUUGCUUUUAAACCAAUGACCAGAAAACUACCAGAGAAUCACAGAAUGGCUUAUGUUGGAGGGGACCUUAAUGACCAUCUAGUUCCAACCCACCUUCACAGACAGGGUUGCCAACCACUAGAUCAGGUUGCCCAGCACUCCAAGAAGUUAGAAAAAAAGAAGCAAAAGAGCAAGAAAGGUUACCUACAUUUGUUAUUUUUUACUAUGUCUCUCAAAUGAAGGGAAAGGUAUCCAGUUACAGCAGUGUUAGAAAGAGGCAUGAAAAGAAAAGCACUAUUAUCUCGGUUAGUUUACCACUCCAUUGGCUGAUUAAUGUCUAGAUGCAAUUAAGAAAUUCCAAGCUAACUUUUUUUUCUGUAAACAAGAACUUUUUUCCCCCCCCACCUAGCAUGGGCAUCCUCCCAUGGUUGCUGUUGAACAGCAGUAAAAGGAUUCUUCAGCUCAGCUUCAGCUCACCUGGAGAAAUAAAUGGGAAGCCAGGGGGCUGCCACACACAUUUGGGGAUGAGGAAGCAGAAGUGUGGUGAAGGAGGUUCCCCAGUUUCAUGUUCCUAAGCUGAAACCUUUGAAGGUGGGUGCACUUUUCAAUUGUACCUGUCUGAACUAGAGAGUCUGCUUGAUUUAGUCCAAGAUCAGAGUGGUUAAGACUUGCAUUUGCAAAAGGGACCCCCACGAUCUGAGACUGGUACACAAUAUCUGGCUAGCCAAAAUCAAAAUGAAAACAUUAUUAACAACAGGAAGCUUAGGAGCACACAGCAAAGGGGACCUUGUGAGCCAGAUCUCUCUUUACGGGUAACAAUUUCAUGCAGUCAUCUCUAUAAACAUAUUAAAAUCUGUUUCAUCUAUAGAGUAUUCUGGACUCUUUCUCCCACUCAGAAUGUUUUGUUAAAAACUGAUUGCAGCUAAGCCACACACACCUGUUUGCUCAAGGCAAUAUUGUUCUUCUGCUUAAAUAUGCCUUCUGACUCCAUGUGUUUAAUUCACUAUUGUAUUUAUAAAUCACAGUUGCAUUCUUCCUAAGCAUUUAUUCUACCAGGACAAACAAGACAAACUCUUCCAGUUUACUCCUCUAUAUUAGACUGCCCAUUGCUAAUCCCCACAGGAUUGCACCUGCCCCAGCUGCAUUCAUGUUUCUGGCAUGGGUGACCAGCAUUGUAAAGACAAUUCCAGGUGCAGUUUUACAAGAGUAGCUGCUUUAGUGCUUCCCCAUCUCUCUUGAAGAAUUCCUCCAUAGAACGCUCUGGAAUUGCACUUACCUUUUACUCAGACACUUCAUACCAGACCAGCAGCCCAAAGCUAAUUUAUGAUUAACCAAUACUCUCAAGGUUUUCUCUGUCUCCAUAGCUUUUAAUGGAUGAGAAUUUCUGGUACGAGCUGAAAGCUCAUUAUUAAGCCUCUAGGUUCAUGACUCUGCACUCAUUUUCCUUAAUGCUGUUCAUAUUACCAGCAUUUUCCUGUUUUUCCUGGAGAGUCCAACCCUCCACCAUUUUGGCAGUAACGCUCAGCUUCAUGUCAUCAAAAACAAGGAAUACAUCCUCCAAAUAACUCACUCAUUACCAUAAAUUUAAUCUCAUUGCAAUAAGGGGACAUAAAGACUUAGGGGACAACACACACCAGGUUUUCCUUUGUGGUCUCUGUAAUUGUCACCCGAGCACCAAUGAAUUGGGCCAAUAUGCUAUCUACUGCCAACAGCUAGCUACAGCCCAAGGAGCUCCAACUACCCUUAAUAAAAUCUGGGGUUUUGGUCCCACUCUAUUCCCUACUGCCUUACAUUGAAGGCUACAAGGAAAUACAGCCCUCCUGUGACAAACACAGUUGACAAAUAUCGAGAACCUGCCCCUUGAAAGAGCAUCUGUUGUGAAUCUAUCCAAAGCACACCCCCCCCCAGCAACAACAGAACACCCAGGAUAAUAAGCUCUUUUGAACAAGAGCUGCUUUUUUUUUUUUUUUUUUUUUUUUUGCUUUGUAUCCACAGCACUGGAAAUGUAAGAGCUUGAAUGAUCCGCUCUCUGGUGCAGACAAUGGGAAAAUGCUGAAACACUAAAAUGAAGCCUUCAAUAGAUAGAAUGAAGCCUUGUCACUAAGAUGAACUGCUAACAGCAAGUUCAGCUGAGCCUGCACUGAGCUAGCAUCCCAGCCGAAAAUAAUGUAGAUGCUAAAGAUUUUUAUUAUUAUGUUUGAAGUGAGACCCUUUGACAAGUUACAACACAGAGGAACUUUAUGGAACAAAAGCUCUGCUCUGGGUGAUACCUACGCUUUAAAAGCAACCCAUCUGCGACUACUACUCUUCCACCUCAAUACCAAAUGCAUUCCAUUUAAAAAUAAGACAUCCUAAUGAGUUUGGCCAAUCAACGUGGGAUUCAUUGACAGAAUGGAGAUGAUGGAGAAAAUGUGAGAAGAAAACUGGUUCUACUUGCUGUCCAUUAGACUGGAUGCGUUGUUGUCAAGAUUAAACAUCUCACAGUCAGUAACCAUAGUAAUGUACUGCUUCCUAACAUAGGCAUCCAAAAUCCUGCCACUCUUUCUAAAAGCACAGACAUUCCCUAAACCAUCACCUGAGGCUUUCAUGACCACACUCACCAAACGCAUAUUACAUUUCCAUGCCCUCCAGUCUUAAUAGAGUAAACGUGCUAAUGAACUAACAACGCUUUAAGCCAUUUUAGAAUGUACUUAUUUCAAUAUUAUUUAAGAUGUAAAAAUGUAACUAAUCUCAAACUCCGUUUCUCACUGUCAGAAACUGCUGUCAUUGCCUUAAGUAACAGCACAGUGGAUGGAUAGGGAACAGGAAAACCAAGCAGCACUUGAUUACUUUGUUGAUCUAUUUCCUUCUUAAAGUCUCUUUCUAGGACCUGCUGCAAGCUGUAACCUUUAUAUGUAAUUACCAUUAAGGAGCAUUGGUGUGAAAUAAUACUGAAGAAUUGUAAACUCUCAGAAAACAAAGCAGAAAUGCAAAAAUGGUCUGAAUAAACUUUGGGGUUGUUUCAGUAAGGCUUAACAUUGUGGUUUAACCUGGCAGGUAGCAAAGCACCACACAGUCAUCCACUCACUCCCCACCUCCCAGUGAGAUGGGGGUGUGAGGGGAGAAUUGAAAGAAAGAAAAAACAAAUGAAGAACUUGUGGAUUGAGAUAAAAAUGAUUUACUAAGAAAGGGAAGAGGGAAAAAAAAGAUAUAAUUAUGUGUAUAUAUAGUAUAGAAACAUAUAUACAUGCACAAAACAAGUGAUACACAAGCAAUUGCUCACCACCUGCCAUCCAAAGUCCAGUUCUGACCUCUUCCAUGUACUUCAUAUGUUCAUUCAUUGGCAUACAUGCCUUACAAACUGCAAGAGAGCCAGGCAAGGGCAUUAAUAAUUUGUAUUCAUUGUUUUUUUUUCCUUAUUGACUGGGUUUUAGAAGGCCGGAAGGCCUGUGUUGGUACAGUACUGUCUCACUUACAACACUGACAUUUCUCAGCAGGACUUCUGUGCCCAACUGGAAUGGCUGCUGGAGCAGCAUUUGUUUUACCUCUUUUUAGAGGCUUCGAGACAAGUUAGUCAAGUCAAAGCUAGG